rnacentral:rRNA from 1 species
GCAAUGCACCUAAAUAUAUUAAAGGCACCAGAUCCCAUCUGAUCUUGGAAGCUAAGCAAGGUCAGCCCUGGCUAGUACUUGGACUGGAGACCAUCAACAAAUGCCAGGUGCUUUCGGCU